GACGAACGCUGGCGGCGCGCCUAACACAUGCAAGUCGAACGAGCGAGAGAGAGCUUGCUUUCUCAAGCGAGUGGCGAACGGGUGAGUAACGCGUGAGGAACCUGCCUCAAAGAGGGGGACAACAGUUGGAAACGACUGCUAAUACCGCAUAAGCCCACGGCUCGGCAUCGAGCAGGGGGAAAAGGAGCAAUCCGCUUUGAGAUGGCCUCGCGUCCGAUUAGCUAGUUGGUGAGGUAACGGCCCACCAAGGCGACGAUCGGUAGCCGGACUGAGAGGUUGAACGGCCACAUUGGGACUGAGACACGGCCCAGACUCCUACGGGAGGCAGCAGUGGGGAAUAUUGCACAAUGGGGGAAACCCUGAUGCAGCGACGCCGCGUGGAGGAAGAAGGUCUUCGGAUUGUAAACUCCUGU
rnacentral:rRNA from 1 species